rfam:Candidatus Thrbacteria bacterium RIFCSPHIGHO2_12_FTLL_57_11 rifcsphigho2_12_scaffold_43834, whole genome shotgun sequence.
CGGGCUAUGGCGCAGUUGGUAGCGCGCAUGCAUGGGGUGCAUGAGGUCGCGGGUUCGAGUCCCGCUAGCCCGA